rnacentral:tRNA from 1 species
AUAAAAUUAAGUUAGUUAGACUAAAUGUUUUCAAAACAUUCAGCGACCGUAUGGUCAUUUUAUA